UUCUACUUAUGGUGCCAGACAC
rnacentral:piRNA from 1 species